CAAUACGGAGCGGCAGACGGGUGAGUAACACGUGGGAACGUGCCCUUUGGUUCGGAACAACCCAGGGAAACUUGGGCUAAUACCGGAUAAGCCCUUACGGGGAAAGAUUUAUCGCCGAAGGAUCGGCCCGCGUCUGAUUAGCUAGUUGGUGGGGUAAUGGCUCACCAAGGCGACGAUCAGUAGCUGGUCUGAGAGGAUGAUCAGCCACACUGGGACUGAGACACGGCCCAGACUCCUACGGGAGGCAGCAGUUAGGAAUCUUGGACAAUGGGCGCAAGCCUGAUCCAGCCAUGCCGCGUGGGUGAUGAAGGCCCUAGGGUUGUAAAGCCCUUUCAGCGGGGAAGAUAAUGACGGUACCCGCAGAAGAAGCCCCGGCUAACUUCGUGCCAGCAGCCGCGGUAAUACGAAGGGGGCUAGCGUUGCUCGGAAUCACUGGGCGUAAAGCGCACGUAGGCGGCUUUUUAAGUCAGGGGUGAAAUCCUGGAGCUCAACUCCAGAACUG
rnacentral:rRNA from 1 species